CUGCUCCAACAUAAACAGCUCACCCAAAUACAUAUUACCAGACAACAACAUACCCAUGAUUGCACUCCAUGCCGAUUACAAACAAACAUUUUCAGGUGGAUGUCACAAGUUCUGCACAUCUCAUACAACAGAUUCCCGAGAUUGAUGCUUAACACCCUCUCCGACACCAAAAUCAACUGGAUUGCACUUCAUUCAAGUUGCAAUAUUUACAAAUUGCCUCUUACAAAACUAUGAAGGUUGACUUGCUUGAUAUACAUGACCUUCCUCACCAUGAUAAGCAAAAUAUAUAUUGCCAGUUCCUCUUUCUUGUCAGGCUUUAAAACUCAGCAGGCGUUGUAAUUUAAAACAAGUUGAUCGCAUUGGCUUUAUGUUGUUGCUCAUCAAGAUGUCAAUCCGUCAUCAGCCAUUACACAUCUUGCAGCUUUCAACAGCUUUCAAAUUAUUUGAUUCUUUCAAACCUGCUAUUUUACAUCUCACAGCCCUAUCUUCUCAAAUAUUAACAUGUUCAAGAUGACGACACCGUUACCAUAUCAUGUUUUAAAGAGUCGUUAAGAUCUAGCCUCCCACAGUGACUGCUUACACUUAUUGACAUUGUAACAUUCACGGUUUCUUACUUAUGUUACUCUCUUCCAUCAUUGCUACAUUUCAUUCAAUGUUCCCCUUUGCUGAAAUCCACUAUGUUUAACAACUGAAUUCAAUGAAUGAACAUAACUUGCUGCUUUCUCUUCA